GUUAAGAUAGCAGGGCCCAGCAAUUGUGUAAGACUUAAAACUUUAUAAUCAGAGGUUCAACUCCUCUUCUUAACA
rnacentral:tRNA from 1 species